CAUUCAUCAGGCCAAUCACGCACAUCAGUGCUACUGGAUGCACAUCAGCCCUCAGCAGGACACGCAACUCCAGGUGGGAACUGCUCCAGUCGCUGUGUGAACACGUCAAGAGUGGCUGAUAAACUCUGGUACUGAUAAAAAUAGAAAAAGCUGAGCGCGACAGGACAGUCCAAUCUGAAACGCUGUCAACAUGAUUCCAGUACUCCCACCUCAGAGACAACCGUCUGUGGAGAUGGUCAGACAAACCAGCAGCCAUGGAUGACCACUGCGGCUUCAGCUCUCCUGUGCAGCUGUUAUGAAUUCCAUGACAUGGAACAAAGGUCACCAUGUUAGGCCUCUCUUCAACUAUAUAAUAAGACUAAUGCCUUAUUCAGCUCCCACUUGAAUAAACCCUUCAGUGGCGUAGAUGCUGUAUAAGGUUAAAGGGUAAAGCUAAGAGGUCACAGGCCAAGGCAGAGCUGGUUCAUUACUGUGUUCACACACAAUUUGUUGUUCAUUAAAAUGCUGCCACCUUUGUGCGGUUCAC